GAAUCAAUAGGUAAACUUAUUUUGAGCAGUAACCAAAGCUUCUCAUCAGCAUGCCUCCUAAUCUGAGAGUAAAACAGCGGAACACUGGGGAACGUUGACCAUGACACAAGCCUAUCUCUCAAAGCAAUGUUCAUCUCCUUGUUGCGGCCAGGUUGACUGUCCAGUGGAAGAUGCCAAAAAACUCCAUUCACCAGACUCCACACAUUACUUACCCACGUAGCCCAUCACUGUGGAGAACAUAUGUACCUGAGCCACGCUUUAUCCAGCCUAGAAUUGUUGAUCAGCCAGAUCCAGAAACUUUGAAGAAGCAAUGUAUGUACCGAAAGAAGCUGGAAAAGGAAAAAAAGAAGGCCAUGAAGAAAAGGUAAGCAGUAAAAUGCGAUUUCUAUUUCUACAGUGAGAGCUGAUCACAACAAACAUAUUAAAUG
rnacentral:lncRNA from 11 species